CCUAACGGGAGGCAGCAGUGGGGAAUAUUGGACAAUGGGGGGAACCCUGAUCCAGCCAUGCCGCGUGUGUGAAGAAGGCCCUCGGGUUGUAAAGCACUUUCAGUGAGGAAGAACGCCUGGUGGUUAAUACCCAUCAGGAAAGACAUCACUCACAGAAGAAGCACCGGCUAACUCCGUGCCAGCAGCCGCGGUAAUACGGAGGGUGCGAGCGUUAAUCGGAAUUACUGGGCGUAAAGCGCGCGUAGGUGGCUUGAUAAGCCGGUUGUGAAAGCCCCGGGCUCAACCUGGGAACGGCAUCCGGAACUGUCAAGCUAGAGUGCAGGAGAGGAAGGUAGAAUUCCCGGUGUAGCGGUGAAAUGCGUAGAGAUCGGGAGGAAUACCAGUGGCGAAGGCGGCCUUCUGGACUGACACUGACACUGAGGUGCGAAAGCGUGGGUAGCAAACAGGAUUAGAUACCCGAGUAGUC
rnacentral:rRNA from 1 species